CCUGCGCGCGGGGUGUCACUGCUCCCUCGGAUCUCCGGACAGCGGAGGGGCACACAGGCCGGCCGCCUCGCCUACCCUACCCCCAACGCAAUGCGCCUCCGCCCGAAAGCCCCCCCGCCGGGGACCCAGGGUCCUGAGACACACACGCCGAGACGCCCGCCGCCCCGGAGGCCCACAGGCACCUCUACCGAACCCGUACAGCGGGGACACACGCGGGGCCCCGCCAUCUCCCGGACCGCGCACCUCAGAGCGGGCGUGAGCGAGGUAGGCUCCACGCCCAGUGUAGAAUCCAACACGGACUCAAUCCCACAACCCUGAAAUCAUGACCUGAGCCAAAAUCAAGAGUCGGAUGCUUAACCAACUGAGCCACCCAGGUAACCCAGAACACAUGAAUUCUUACAUUACCCCUAUCAGGCAAGACAACUACAUCAUCACAGGAAAACUCAAGGUCCACCCAAUUAAAAAAAAGAAAAGAAGAUAUCUCAUUCAUGGGGCGCCUGGUUGGCUCAGUCAUUAAGCAUCUGCCUUCAGCUCAGGGCAUGAUCCCAGCAUUCUGGGAUCGAGCCC